rnacentral:siRNA from 1 species
AUUACAGGUUCGAAUCCUGUCC